UAUAUAACUUCAUACAGAAGCCAGAGUUUGUAAGAAUAUUGGUGGGUAUAUAAGGAAAUGGUUGAAUUAGAAAGGUUCAUAAAAAGGAGUGAACACAUCUACUGACUAGCCCUAGUUUUCAAGAUUAAGACAGAUGCUUAGAUAAUACUGUAUAGCAUACAGAUUAUAAGAACUACCACUGAGACCUAAAAGGAGAUCAUUAUUAUACACCAUAAAUUUUUCAACAGCGGACACUGAAGAAGACCUGAUAUAGGUCAAAAUUCAUACGGUCUUUUGCUAAGCUGAUCUUUCAUCAAGUUUUUGUAUUAAGAAAUGAUUGUGAAGUUGGCAUGUCUAGAUAUAUACACACACAGUAGAUUGUGGAUAUUAUGCAAGCCUUCCAUCUUCAUACAUGAUGACAUAUGUUUAUUUAAUUUAUUUAUCUAUUUUAUAUCCCACCGUUCCUCACAGCAAGAGCCCAGGGCACCAAUGUUACGUGAUGAAGAUAGUUGUUUUAAUUAUG